GUACGUAGGGGGCAAGCGUUGUUCGGGAUUACUGGGCGUAAAGGGCUCGUAGGCGGCCAACUAAGUCAGACGUGAAAUCCCUCGGCUUAACCGGGGAACUGCGUCUGAUACUGGAUGGCUUGAAUCCGGGAGAGGGAUGCGGAAUUCCAGGUGUAGCGGUGAAAUGCGUAGAUAUCGGAGGAACACCGGUGGCGAAGGCGGCAUCCUGGACCGGCAUUGACGCUGAACGGCGAAAGCUAGGGGAGCGAA
rnacentral:rRNA from 1 species